ACACAGCCCGAGGACAUCAACCACACAGGCCAAUUGUGCACCCUCCCGAGCCCCAAUCUUUCCAGGUUCUCUUCCAUAACCACCAUCACGAUUCUCCAAGAACAACAGGACAUAGUAGCCCACUGAAUGGAUCAAACUAUAAAACUCGGAGCUUCUUUUCCAACACCAAGUCCACCUGUAUACCACAGUGCUUCCCACCAUGACGAUAAAGGACUAAACCUCUGCUGAACCUGAAGAAGCAACCUGAAAGCGGAUGGCACCAUCCCAUGGGCUGCUGUUGACUACAGACACAGUGUGACCAGUUGCCUCCACCUCCUGCCGCUAUACCUGCCUCUUCCCUGGUGAACUGAAGCCUUUCUGAAUGCCUGGGCUGAACUAGGCCCUUCCUUCCUGCAGCCAUUUUUUUUUUCUGUCCAGUUUUGGCUACAACAAUGAGAAAGAUAACUAAGUCAGUUGCUUUUGUCAGGUAUUUUUGUCACCGCAGCAAUACCAGUAACAAACGCACCGACUGACUCCUGCCUCUGCAGGGAAGGCCGACAUGCAGAUCACCUUCCCAGAGACCAACUGGAACAGUGUACUCUCUUUCUCUGUAUCUCUGCAUUCAUGUGUCUGUAUCCCGAGGCUCUUGGAGCAGUAGCCACUAGCCAGAGCUGCAGUGUGACCCCCUCUGAGGCUCACUCCUUGUUCCCCCGAAGCCCAUGUUUCUCAAGUGUUGUCCACACAUGCCAUCUCUUCUGGAGCACCAUCCUGCUUGACUAGGGGAGGACUCUGAUCUCAGAUGUCAGUCAAGUGGUGAUUGCAACCAUUAAAUGAGCAUUUACU